rnacentral:lncRNA from 1 species
GAGACCUUGGAGCUCGCAGCAGGAGCAGGAGUUGUUCUUUUUGACUGUAUAUCGAGGGAAUUCCUACCGUCCUUCAUGCUGUUAUUCUUGAGAGAGAACGUGUUGUUACUUACUGUCUGCCACCAUCGUUAUGCCACCGACUCAGUUAUACAGCGUGCCAUCUAAAUAGCUGCUGUCCCUAAGGAAAUAUUUUUUAUCACAAUAUAUCUUUGGUUUUGGGUCUUACAUCCUCAGAAGUCUCAAAGUGUUUCAUGAAGAAUGGUCUAGGAAUGGAAAUAAAGGAGCAUCACGACCUGCUAGGAGCACGGGAAAAGUAGUGGUCAAUAAGGAAUGUUUUUCUCACAGAUGGAAAAUAGUUGGAAGUGUGGGGUUCACACCCCACUCUUUUUAAGAGUGCCUGGUUAUUAAUAAUGUCCAUGUGUAGACAUAAGCCUCUAAUGUUAUUCCACUGAGUAGAGCCAGG